GGCGAAAUGGCAAGAACCUGGGCUUGGAAUUCAGAAGACCUGGGUUCUAAUCCCGGCUUUGCCA
rnacentral:tRNA from 1 species